rnacentral:tRNA from 1 species
GCCCGGGUGGUGGAAUCGGUCAGACACGGGGACCUUAAAAGUCUCUGGCCUCCAGGGCCGUGCGGGUUCGAAUCCCGCCCCGGGCA